GCUGGGUGUGGUGGCGGGCACCUGUGGUCCCAGCUACUAGGAGGCUGAGGCAGAAGAAUCGCUUGAACCCAGGAGUUGGAGGUUGCAGUGAGCCGAGAUUGCGCCACUGCACUCCAGCCUGGGCAACAGAGUGAGACUCCAUCUCAA
ensembl:misc_RNA Metazoa_SRP Metazoan signal recognition particle RNA